rnacentral:lncRNA from 1 species
GUUCUUGCGUGGAAUGCACGCAUAUAAAUUCACAAAGCCCAGAAGACCUCGGGAAGAAGGACAUACUGUUGGCAGCACAAGAGCAAGGAGUUCUUGCAGAUCAACAGCCUGGGGAAACUGCCGACGCUCAAGGAUGGUGAUUUCAUCUUGACCGAAAGCUCGGCCAUCCUGAUUUACCUGAGCUGUAAGUACCAGACGCCGGACCACUGGUAUCCAUCUGACCUGCAGGCUC